rnacentral:rRNA from 1 species
AGUGACUGAGUGGCGGACGGGUGAGUAACGCGUGGGUAACCUGCCUCAUACAGGGGGAUAACAGUUAGAAAUGGCUGCUAAUACCGCAUAAGCGCACGGUACUGCAUGGUACAGUGUGAAAAACUCCGGUGGUAUGAGAUGGACCCGCGUUGGAUUAGCUAGUUGGCAGGGUAACGGCCUACCAAGGCGACGAUCCAUAGCCGGCCUGAGAGGGUGGACGGCCACAUUGGGACUGAGACACGGCCCAGACUCCUACGGGAGGCAGCAGUGGGGAAUAUUGCACAAUGGGGGAAACCCUGAUGCAGCGACGCCGCGUGAGCGAAGAAGUAUUUCGGUAUGUAAAGCUCUAUCAGCAGGGAAGAAAAUGACGGUACCUGACUAAGAAGCCCCGGCUAACUACGUGCCAGCAGCCGCGGUAAUACGUAGGGGGCAAGCGUUAUCCGGAUUUACUGGGUGUAAAGGGAGCGUAGACGGUUUUGCAAGUCUGAAGUGAAAGCCCGGGGCUUAACCCCGGGACUGCUUUGGAAACUGUAGGACUAGAGUGCAGGAGAGGUAAGUGGAAUUCCUAGUGUAGCGGUGAAAUGCGUAGAUAUUAGGAGGA